rnacentral:rRNA from 1 species
UACAGGGGGGGCAAGCGUUGUUCGGAAUUACUGGGCGUAAAGGGUUCGUAGGUGGCCACUUAAGUCAGACGUGAAAUCCCUCAGCUUAACUGGGGAACUGCGUCUGAUACUGGGUGGCUUGAGUGCAGGAGAGGAAUGCGGAAUUCCAGGUGUAGCGGUGAAAUGCGUAGAUAUCUGGAGGAACACCGGUGGCGAAGGCGGCAUCCUGGACCGAGAUUGACGCUGAUGAGCGAAAGCUAGGGGAGCAAACGGG